rnacentral:snoRNA from 1 species
UAGUCAAUUGAUUAACUUACUUAUCUGAAUGUGUUUUCACAGAAAUUUAGAAACAGCUGGUAAUAGUGAUGCGAUUUUAUGAGCCUUAAGGACAACAGAGGUCAUUACCAUCCCUCAAAAUGGCUAGAAAU